AGCACUACGAACGGGUGGAGCCUGUCGGUUUAAUUGGAUCAACGCCGAAAUCUCGACCGGGGCGACAGCAAUAUGAAGGUCAGGCUGAAGACCUUACCCGAUUAGCUGAGAGGUGGUGCAUGGCCGUCGUCAGUUCGUACUGUGAAGCAUCCUGUUAAGUCAGGCAACGAGCGAGACCCACGUCCACAGUUGCCAGCAUACCCUCCGGGGUGAUGGGUACACUGUGGAGACCGCCGCUGCUAAAGCGGAGGAAGGAGUGGGCAACGGUAGGUCAGUAUGCCCCGAAUCUCCCGGGCUACACGCGGGCUACAAUGGUUGGUACAAUGGGCAUCUACCCCGAAAGGGGAAGGAAAUCUCUUAAAGCCAAUCGUAGUUCGGAUUGAGGGCUGCAACUCGCCCUCAUGAAGCUGGAAUCCGUAGUAAUCGCGUUUCAACAGAACGCGGUGAAUACGUCCCUGCUCCUU
rnacentral:rRNA from 1 species